UCCGAUAUGGUCUAGUGGCUAGGAUACAUCGCUCUCAUUCACAGCGCCGAUGUGGCCCGGGUGCGUCACAGCACUUCCAUCAACAUACAACUCAUCUAAUUCCCGCUUAGGUUCGAUUCCCGGUGUCGGAA